GGGGCUGUGUCCACCAUGGCCUGGACUCUUCUCCUUCUCGUGCUCCUCUCUCACUGCACAGGUUCCCUCUCCCAGCCUGUGCUGACUCAGCCAUCUUCCCAUUCUGCAUCUUCUGGAGCAUCAGUCAGACUCACCUGCACGCUGAGCAGUGGCUUCAGUGUUGGGGACUUCUGGAUAAGGUGGUACCAACAAAAGCCAGGGAACCCUCCCCGGUAUCUCCUGUACUACCACUCAGACUCCAAUAAGGGCCAAGGCUCUGGAGUUCCCAGCCGCUUCUCUGGAUCCAAUGAUGCAUCAGCCAAUGCAGGGAUUCUGCGUGUCUCUGGGCUCCAGCCUGAGGAUGAGGCUUACUAUUACUGUGGUACAUGGCACAGCAACUCUAAGACUCACACAGUGCUCCAGACCCAUGAGGAACAAAACACUGCAAAGUCAUUCGCCAGGAUCUCCUGCAGACUGGCAUUCAGUGAUGGAGAACAGACUCCUAGGUGA